rnacentral:rRNA from 1 species
CUGAAAAUAAAGGGCCGCAUAAGGGGGCGGCAAAAGCCUUGAAAGCAAGCAAAUUGCCGCGUGCAGAGGAAGGAAAGGUCUUCGUGACUGUAAACUCGCUUUUCGGCGAGGGACGAAAAGCGCCC